GAUGAACGCUGGCGGCGUGCCUAAUACAUGCAAGACGAGCGAAUGGAUUAAGAGCUUGCUCUUAUGAAGUUAGCGGCGGACGGGUGAGUAACACGUGGGUAACCUGCCCAUAAGACUGGGAUAACUCCGGGAAACCGGGGCUAAUACCGGAUAAUAUUUUGAACUGCAUGGUUCAAAAUUGAAAGGCGGCUUCGGCUGUCACUUAUGGAUGGACCCGCGUCGCAUUAGCUAGUUGGCGAGGUAACGGCUCACCAAGGCAACGAUGCGUAGCCGACCUGAGAGGGUGAUCGGCCACACUGGGACUGAGACACGGCCCAGACUCCUACGGGAGGCAGCAGUAGGGAAUCUUCCGAAAUGGACGAAAGUCUGACGGAGCAACGCCGCGUGAGUGAUGAAGGCUUUCGGGUCGUAAAACUCUGUUGUUAGGGAAGAACAAGUGCUAGUUGAAUAAGCUGGCACCUUGACGGUACCUAACCAGAAAGCCACGGCUAACUACGUGCCAGCCGCCGCGGUAA
rnacentral:rRNA from 1 species